GCACUGCUGACGAGUCCCAAACAGGACGGAACGGCUUUCCAGUGC
rnacentral:hammerhead_ribozyme from 1 species